UAACAACCUGCUCAUUUCAUCAGGCAGAACUCGAUAUCGAGGCUGUGGGCUGCUGAUUUUAUGUUUCAUUUUAAAAAUUCUGGUUAGUAUUUAAAAUAUAUAUAUAUAUAUAUUUUCAUAUGUAUGUCAGGAAAAUUUUUUCUUCUUUGACAGUGUCUACAGAGGAGUAUUUGGGAUGAGGACAGUUGGAGGUGGGAGUAUGAGUGGGCUGCUUGGGGUAUUUUGGUACAUUUAAUUGGCUGUUAAAUGGUUAAUGAA
rnacentral:lncRNA from 1 species